CCCUUAGAUGUCCUGGGCCGCACGCGCGCUACACUGACAUGUUCAACAAGCCUCCUAGUUCGACAGGAUUUGGAAAUCUUUGAACGCAUGUCGUGAUAGGGAUAGAUCAUUGCAAUUAUUGAUCUUGAACGAGGAAUUCCUAGUAAACGCGAGUCAUCAGCUCGCAUUGAUUACGUCCCUGCCCUUUGUACACACCGCCCGUCGCACCUACCGAUUGAAUGUUUCGGUGAAGAUUCCGGAUAGGACUUUUUUGAUUUAUUUCAAUUUUGUCUUAAAAGCUAUCUAAACCUCAACAUUUAGAGGAAGGUGAAGUCGUAACA
rnacentral:rRNA from 1 species